CAUAUAUAAUUUGUUGAGUUGUCACAGGUCCAGCUUUUCUGCUUCAGCGGUACCCAUCACUUGGAGAGGCAGUGCGAUCAUGGACUGAACCAAAAGGGUUACAAUAACAGUCUGCAGAAACAAGACAACACAUACACACUGGAUUCAGGUCUACAUGUGGAGAUAAUUCAUUCAAUACCAAUAAAGGGUGCAUUUCCAGUGCUAAAGGAAGAGAUGUUUUAUGAUGCAAAGAGAAAAAGUAGACAGAAAAGAUAUAAAGGCAGAAGAUACCAUGGUCUUGAGGAAAUGGAGAAUAUUCAAAAAUGCUAUUGAACUUGGAGUGCUAUAACUGGUAAGCACCUUGAGAACCAGAGUGUUUCAUGGCCAAACAAGUCUCUAGUUUGACAAUUUUGGCCAACACCUCCUAAAACGAUUAACAGUGAAGAAAAGGAAGGAAGACAGUUAUUGGAGAACUACAUCAACUGUACUUUUGAGGGCCUGCUCCAAGUUAUGAUUUGGAGUGAAGAAACCUCUAAUAAUUACGAAGCACUUGGAUGCAUGCAUGCACUGUGAAACAUAAGCAGGAGGACUGUUCAAGUUCAGAGUAUUUUUUCAGACAUGGCUGAAAAAUGCUGAAAGAGCCAGCACUGCAAUCAAGAAUGCUGGAAAUGAUCAGAGAACCUAUUAUUCAACUGAUAGACAACAGCAGGGAAAGCAUGGAAAUAUGUUUUGCAUUCUCCUGAAGAAGUCAGGGUGACUUAAAAUGGUGAAGAGAUAAAUGGAUAAAGAAAACAGCUUUGAGUCAAGGUUUCCGCUAUGACUACAGAAUAAUCUGCAAUGGUCUUCUGUUUCAGGAGCUGUAGCUUGAAAAGCAGCCAGCAACCCCAGCAGUCCAACUCAGAAAGCCAGUUUAUUUCAUGGUAACUAAGAAGAUGAAGAAGAAAUCCUUCAUGCUUCUUCCUGUUUGCCAGAAAUUCCUGCUGCCGAUGACUGCUGAAGUCAGGAUUUGAGAUACGUCUUGCAAAAAUUCAAGAGUUACUAUUUCCAGGAACAAAACAAGUCCUCUGCUUAUGUCUUUACAGAAUUUGGUCCAAAUUACACCCUGGAAGCCUGAGAAAACAGACUUCAUUUAGAUAUCCUCUGCAAUACCACACUUCAAUAGAAGGAAAGCUCACUAUAAUGGUGUCUUGCCAUUCUUGUUCAGCAAGUACUGUCUUGUUCAGAAAGGAAAUUUAUUUUCCUGCUUUAAUUUAAUAUAGCUGUAGUAGCUGAAGGUCAGACAAAUUAUUUUGGUAGGCACAUUUAGUUUUACUUGGGGAAGAAACCUUAUCAAGCCUUGUGACAAAAUCAUUAGAUAAACCAGAUUCUGCAUCUGGUCUUAAAACAAUUGUAUUUUCAUUAAAUUCCCCCCUUUUCCUGAAACUAGGACACUUACAGAAUGGGAAGUUAGUUUCAUAAACAGUAAGGUAUUUUCACCUCUUUCCAUCCCUUUCCAACGGAUGUCAAAACCAGCUAAAAUCUAUUUCUGUUUGGGACUAGAGAGAAAACCAGUAUUUAGUGACCUUUCCUGUUUGUUUUCCUAAUGACCAUACAUCUAGUAAUUUGCAGGGUUCUCAUGUGGGCAUUUGUCACCUGUUCCAUACAGUGACCAAUAAUUAGAGCAGAACAACAUGUGGAAUGGCCAAGUGCAAAUUAACAGCUGUCAAGCUGACUUCCAUUUGGAAGGAAUAUGACCUGAAGCAAUUGGCCACAUACAUAUAUAUCCCCAGGGUAAAACAAGCUUGCAGUUGUCUUAAGUAGCUGCUGGAGAAAAUCCACAAGAAUAUGUAAUACAGUAGAUGGUGGAGCAUUCUCCUUUGUGCUAGAAAUGAAUGAAACUGCUGUUAUUUGAGCAAUGCUCAUUCUAAAGAGAAACAGGUUCAGCACUUUUAAAAUUGAAAUGACCAGAAUGUAUUCAAUAUGCUGGACAAGAGAAAGAGAGUAAUUUUUACACAGUUUACAAAAUAUGUGUGCUUGAAGACUAAAUCAAUAGUGAAUUUUCAGUGAGUUGCCAGAAGGAAAGAUGCUUGUCUGGGCAUCAGUGAAUGACAUCCAUCUAUUCACUAGACACUGAACCUUUUGGCAAAGGGUAUUAAAAAAAGCCAUGGGUUGUUUCACUGUCCACAGGAGUAUGAAAAUGGAACAUUCCAAACAGGAGAGAUAUACAGUAAGAACAAGACCAAAAAUAGAGGAGAAAAGCAGGAGAGACUGUCAAGUAACUAGAACAAAUUAGAGAGAGGAAAGGACUGGAUUUCUUUCCUCAGGAGCAGAUUUCUGUUUUAUUGUAGGGAUUCAGUGUCAGAGGCAGCAAACUGAUCUAGGCAAGAGGAAAAAAGUGGUUGAUUCUGAGGAAAAGCUUUAGUACCUAGUGCUCUGAAAGGGUGCUGCAGAUUUGUACAGGAACUGAGGUGGGGGAAGAUAAAGGUAUGUCCCUCUGCUAAUUGGAGUAAAUAUUCACAGCUCUUUUAACAAGCACCUGAAAAUAAAGAAUAGUUGUGUCACAAAAUCUUGUGCAAAAUCUCUUUGCACUUCUUAGAUGCUGUGCUUGUCAGAUGUUCCUGAAGAGAGACUGACCCUUCCUUAGUUUUGCAUGCAUGGGUAAUAGUCUUGGAUGGACUCUGGACUUCUCCAUCCUCCUCUGGUUCUAUCCAGUCCUGUGCCCUGCCUCUUCACGUAUAUAUGCAAAAUAUAUGCAUGUAUUUACAUGUAUGGAUAUAUACAUGCAUACACAAAUAAUUCCUAUAGAGCCUCACCAUUUCCUUUUACUGCCCACUUGCCCUAAUCCCUCUGUGUCCCACCUCUUUAGAGGCUGCCUCCUCCUUUCCCUGAUUUCCCAGGCAAGAGAGCAUGGGCAGCCCAGCUCUGCUGCCUGUCCUGGUGCCUGUUGUUUGAACUCCUUAGGGCAAGAUGCUGCAGAGGAAAUGCUUCUCAGCCCAAGGUGCAGCACCCACACCAACACCAGGCAGCUGUUCUGGGGUCCUGCACAAGGCAUCCUGUGUGACUGCAGCCACCAAACCCCACCAGACAGAGACAGUGAGACAUCCUGCAGGGCUGUGUUUGUACCAGGUACAGGCAGCUUUGCACAAAAAACAGCAAAAUGCAUUUUCUUCUAGAAGU